AUUGAACGCUGGCGGCAUGCCUUACACAUGCAAGUCGAACGGUAACAGGUCUUCGGAUGCUGACGAGUGGCGAACGGGUGAGUAAUACAUCGGAACGUGCCUAGUAGUGGGGGAUAACUACUCGAAAGAGUGGCUAAUACCGCAUGAGAUCUACGGAUGAAAGCAGGGGAUCGCAAGACCUUGCUCUACUAGAGCGGCCGAGGGCAGAUUAGGUAGUUGGUGGGAUAAAAGCUUACCAAGCCGACGAUCUGUAGCUGGUCUGAGAGGACGAUCAGCCACACUGGGACUGAGACACGGCCCAGACUCCUACGGGAGGCAGCAGUGGGGAAUUUUGGACAAUGGGCGCAAGCCUGAUCCAGCAAUGCCGCGUGCAGGAUGAAGGCCUUCGGGUUGUAAACUGCUUUUGUACGGAACGAAAAGCCCUGGGUUAAUACCCUGGGGUCAUGACGGUACCGUAAGAAUAAGCACCGGCUAACUACGUGCCAGCCGCCGCCGUAAUAC
rnacentral:rRNA from 1 species